CUCGAACCACUAUGAGAGGUACAGCCUGCCCAGUGACCUAAUGUUAAACGGCCGCGGUAUCCUAACCGUGCGAAGGUAGCGUAAUCACUUGUUCUUUAAAUGAGGACUAGUAUGAAUGGCAUCACGAGGGUUAUUCUGUCUCCUUUUUCCAAUCAGUGAAACUAAUCUCUCCGUGAAGAAGCGAGGAUUAUUUUAUAAGACGAGAAGACCCUAUGGAGCUUUAAACUACCAGCAUUUGCUAUAUAACAUAAUUUUUCAGAAACCUAAAAAACAACUUAGCUCUUUGACUGUAAGUUUUCGAUUGGGGUGAUCACGGAACAAAAUAUAACCUCCGUGUCGAAAGGACUUUUCCUGAGCCAAAAGUGACAACCUUAAGCACUAAAAAAUUAACGCUUAUUGACCCAAUAAUUUGAUCAACGAAC
rnacentral:rRNA from 1 species